rnacentral:rRNA from 1 species
CAGUCGUACGAGAAAGUCCGCUUCGGUGGAUGAGUAAAGUGGCGCACGGGUGAGUAACGCGUGGAUAAUCUACCCUUUAGUCUGGAAUAACUUAUCGAAAGGUGAACUAAUACCGGAUAAUAUCCCGAUUUCUUCGGCGAUCGGGAUCAAAGAAGGCCUCUGCUUGCAAGCUUUCACUGAAGGAUGAGUCCGCGUACCAUUAGCUAGUUGGCAGGGUAAUGGCCUACCAAGGUUAUGAUGGUUAGCUGGUCUGAGAGGAUGAUCAGCCACACUGGAACUGAAACACGGUCCAGACUCCUACGGGAGGCAGCAGUGAGGAAUAUUGCGCAAUGGGGGCAACCCUGACGCAGCAACGCCGCGUGAGUGAGGAAGGUUUUCGGAUUGUAAAGCUCUGUCGAGCGGAAAGAAGUGCAUGGUGGUUAAUAUCCAUCAUGCUUGACGGUACCGCUAAAGGAAGCACCGGCUAACUCCGUGCCAG